rnacentral:rRNA from 1 species
AUACGUAGGUGACAAGCGUUAUCCGGAUUUACUGGGCGUAAAGGGCGUGUAGGCGGUCUUGCAAGUCAGAAGUGAAAUUCCUGAGCUCAACUCGGGCGCUGCUUCUGAAACUGCAGGACUUGAGUGCUGGAGGGGAUAGCGGAAUUCCUAGUGGAGCGGUAAAAUGCGCAGAUAUUAGGAAGAACACCGGUGGCGAAGGCGGCUGUCUGGACAGUAGCAGACGCGGAGGCGCGAAAGCGUGGGGAGAAAACAGGAUGAUAUUCCCUGGUAGUCCACGCCGUAAACGAUGAAUGCUAGGUGUGGGGGGUAUCGACUCCCUCUGUGCCGCAGUUAACACAAUAAGUAUUACGCCUGGGGAGUACGGCCGCAAGGUUGAAACUCAAAUGAAUUGACGGGG